UACGUAGGGGGCAAGCGUUGUCCGGAUUUAUUGGGCGUAAAGAGCGUGUAGGCGGUUCGGUAGGUCCGUUGUGAAAACUCGAGGCUCAACCUCGAGACGCCGAUGGAAACCCCCGAACUAGAGUCCGGAAGAGGAGAGUGGAAUUCCUGGUGUAGCGGUGAAAUGCGCAGAUAUCAGGAAGAACACCUAUGGCGAAGGCAGCUCUCUGGGACGGUACUGACGCUGAGACGCGAAAGCGUGGGGAGCGAACAGG
rnacentral:rRNA from 1 species